rnacentral:miRNA from 4 species
AAAGUAGCUGUACCAUUUGC